GUAGCUAGCAAGGGGAUUGUAAAAUGCACCAAUCAGUACCCUGAAAAUGCAACAAUCAGCACUCUGUAAAAUGCACCAAACAGCAGGAUCCUAAAACUAGCCAAUCACAGGGAGGAUUGAUAAAGGAGCACUCUGAUAGGACAAAAACAGAACAUGGGAGGGGACAAAUAAGGGAAUAAAUGCUGGCCACCCCAGCCAGCAGCAGCAACUCACUCGGGUCUCCUUACACACUGUGGAAGCUUUGUUCUUUCACUCUUCACAAUAAAUCUUGCUGCUGCUCACUCUUUGGGUCUGUGCCAUCUUUAAAAGCUGUAACACUCACUGCGAAGGUCCGUGGCUCCAUUCUUGAAAUCAGCAAAACCACAAACCCACUGGCAGGAACCAACUCUGGACACAUCUUGGGAGCUCCUCUGGGAUAUUGUCAUGUGAAUCUACAAAAUACCUCCCAUGGUAACAAGAAAACAACACACAAUCAAAACAAAUGAAGUGCUUCCCAAACACCAUCUUCUUCAAGGGAGGAGACCAGUACGGAGUCACUACAAGUUGUUUCUUCUACCAACGGUACCACAAAUGGCCCCAAAGGCCCAAAUGGGAUUCAAAAUGGAGUCAGUGCUGUUACAAUACGAUCUUCUAUUCAAUAAAGAAGCAAAAGUACUCACAGCAGAGUGGGUCAGCAUCUACUGCAUCCUAUUUCACAUGCUGACAGACAGCCACAAGACAAAGGGGAAAUUAGCCUCCAAGAUUCCGGCUCACCAUCCCAAGCAGAAUUUAAAAGGGUAUGUUUAG
rnacentral:lncRNA from 1 species